UUUGUUAUCCAAUGGAAUAUUUGGAUAGGUGGAUAGCGAUGGUUUUAUUUUUUAUUAGAAAAAAUAAAUUCAUUAAACUGACAAAUUGAGCACAAAAAAUUUUAACCCAUAUCAAACAUUAAUCUCACAAAAUAAAGCCCUCACAAGGAGAAGCUAAACAAAUAACCCAAUACAAGCCCAAACCUUAAGUCUACUCGUUGCCGUUGAAGGAGGAGAGCUACGCAGCCGUUGCUCAUCAACAACCACAAAACAAUAGAAAGAGGAAGCGGGCUCAACUUCAACUCAACACUAUAAACAACACAGAGCCAAACCGCAUCCCUAAAGCAGACCACAAAGGACUAUUGAAGAUGAAGCACUGUCAGACCAAAGGAGAGAGGUGGGUAAAGUCGCCCGACAAAGCUCCAAAUGGCAAGAGAGCCAUGAAGGUUAGACAGCGAAUACACCAACUUUGCACCUUGGAGGUGUCGGGUCUCACGGCCUAAAAGAUUUUGCACCCUUUCACCAAAAAGCUUGAAGACUGAGGAGACUACGCUCCACCAUGCACAAGGACUCCAGAAAAGCACAAUAGCUCCACAGUUGCACUAGAGGACCGCAACCCAAAGAACAACAACCAAGCAUCCUUACCAAAACAUAAACGAAAUUGGAUGCAAAUAGGAAGGAAGCUAGUAGAUUGAUAAGAGCCCGCUCACUGAAUCAUAGGAUCCACAAAAACAAGUUUGCAUAGACCAGAUCUAUAAGAAAUCGACAGAAAAAACACAUAUUUAGAAUAAAAAAACUAACACCCAAACAAAACCUAUAUACAUUCUAAUAGAACGAAGAAGAGGGACCUUCAUUCGAUGAGGAAGACACAUAUUUAGAAUAAAAAAACUAACACCCAAACAAAACCUAUAUACAUUCUAAUAGAACGAAGAAGAGGGACCUUCAUUCGAUGAGGAAG
rnacentral:misc_RNA from 1 species